rnacentral:miRNA from 1 species
GCCUACGGUACGUGCGCGCGGGCUGCAGAGCCGGCGGCAGGGCUGGCGGCGGCGGCGGCGGCGGCGGCGGCGG